AGUUAAAUCUUUUCUGCUUACUGAAAAGGAAGAGUCUGAUGAUUAGUUAUUGAUCCUCUUUGCAUUUGUAAAGUUUUGGAGAUAUUGAAUCAUGUUACCAUUUCUGUUUUUUUCCACCCUAUUUUCUUCCAUAUUUACUGAAGCUCAGAAGCACUAUUGGGUCUGCAACUCAUCUGACGCAAGUAUUUCAUACACCUACUGUGAUAAAAUGCAAUACCCAAUUUCAAUUAAUGUUAAUCCCUGCAUAGAAUUGAAGGGAUCCAGAGGAUUGUUGCACAUUUUCUACAUUCCAAGGAGAGAUUUAAAGCAAUUAUAUUUCAAUCUCAAUAUAACUGUCAACUCCAUGACUCUUCCAAAGCGCAAAGAAGUUAUUUGCCGAGGAUCUGAUGAUGAUUAUUCUUUUUGCAGAGCUCUGAAGGGAGAGACUGUGAAUACAACAGUACCAUUCUCCUUCAAGGGAAUAAAAUUUUCUAAGGAAACCAGAAUCAUGGUAUUCUGAAGAGUAGAGAUGCGAAUCGCCCUCAUUUGGCAUCACACUGGCUCCAAUUUGCUUUUCACUGAAAAUGCCCUGCUGCUAAGACUGUACAAACAUCCUCCCUCUAGGCCUGGAGACUGUCAUGGAAGAGAUUUACAUGUUGAAGCCCUACCUCCUGAUAUAACUAAUGGGAAAUAAAAGUAAAAUUCUAAGCCCCUCAACUGAGUGAACAGACCUUCUCUUGGCCAUAGAAACCCCAGAAUAACCUUGAAAAUGGUUCUCAGCCAUGAUGGUAUGAGAGGUUGGACACACCUUGUUAUACCUGCUCCCUCACUAACAGCCAUUAGGCCUUCUUCCCUACAGGCUGAAUAGAAACCAGCCCUCUCAAAAGACUCUGCUGCUGGUAUCAACCAACCAUCUGAUGCUGCCCCUCACUUUUGCAGUUUCGGUGCAACAACGGACCAGCAUUUCUUCCUGAUGAGAGGCAAUUGACCAUGGAGUUGUUCUGGCCAAUCUACAGAGAAUGUGCAGUGAAGGUUUUCAUGUCAUCUGCUUUAUCUUUUGAUGCCAGAGGGCCUGAAACUCCACCCUGGGAUUAUGCUAACACUGCCAUUUUUUGUACACAGGACACAUGAAGAGGCACGAAGCUCAACUGUACAUGUGCAUGUUUUUCCUUUUGUAAAUAUUAAUGACUCCUCCUAUAAUCUGUUGAAUAUGUACACUUAACCACCCAACUUACCAUAUGUUUCUGUUCCCUUUUCCCCUUCCCUUGAAGUAUCUGUUUUUGGCUUCUGACCAGAGGCUACACUUCCCAGCCUCUGAGAAUGGCCACCCUGCAGGCUGAAACUCUUCAUGAGAAAUAAAGCUCUUCUUUCUAAAUUUA